rnacentral:rRNA from 1 species
CUCAGGAUGAACGCUGGCGGCAGGCUAAUACAUGCAAGUCGAACGGUAACGACCGGUAGCAAUACUGGGGCGACGAGUGGCGCACGGGUGCGUAACGCGUAUGCAACCUGCCCUCAACCGGGACACAACGCCGAGAAAUUGGCGCUAAUAUCCCAUGUGUACAGGAGACGGCAUCGUUUUCUAUAUAAAGAUUUAUUGGUUGAGGAUGGGCAUGCGUAACAUUAGCUAGUUGGCGGGUAACGGCUCACCAAGGCGACGAUGUUUAGGGGUUCUGAGAGGAUUCACCCCCACACUGGAACUGAGACACGGUCCAGACUCCUACGGGAGGCAGCAGUAGGGAAUAUUGGGCAAUGGAGGCAACUCUGACCCAGCCAUGCCGCGUGAAGGAAGACGGCCCUAUGGGUUGUAAACUUCUUUGCCGCAGAGUAACCGCGGGGACGUGUCCCUGCCUGAGAGUAUGCGGCGAAUAAGUAUCGGCUAACUCCGUGCCAGCCGCGGC